GGUUGUUUAUUUUUUAAAAAGAAUCUCCAGACCAUUUUUCAUCUGAUCAAUAAACCAGAUCGCUGCUGUUUACACAAAUGCAGAUACAGAAACAUUACACUAAACCCACCUUCAAUGGGUGCUGUCCGGUUGGCAAUUAGCCUGAUUUGCAAUCACUGACAUUAAAGAAUGCACACGUUAAACCAGAUUUUUUAUAUCUUUCAGAACACCUGGAAGGAAUCUGAGCUAACCAAACCAAGCACCGUGAGGUGUGACUACUAUAUCUAAUAUAUUGCAUUUUGAAUCUUGACAUUAAGUGACAGUGGUUAGGAUCACUUAGUAACUACAAUGUGAGAGGCAGAUACAGCUGAGUUCUUGAACUGAGUCAGCUUCUGCUAGCCAGUGCCAGAGACAAGUUACUGGACUAGAUGGACCUCAUUUCUGACCCAGUUGGGUAGAUAAAAAGGAGCAAAUUCACAUGGAGCUCAUGCCAUUUAAGGAUUCAAACACAGAGAUAACUGUACCCUCACCCUUGUGAAAACCUUGCCCUAAAGCUUCUAAGAGGUACUUAGGUUU